UUAAAGAAAUAUUAUUAAAAAAAAGCUUCUAACUUUUUGCAAAGCAUUAACUUGUUUAU
rnacentral:tRNA from 1 species